rnacentral:tRNA from 2 species
CCGGGCCCGGAAUGGAUGCCGCGUCCCCCUGGUUCUAGCCUGGGGGACGCGGCAUUUUGCGUACCCCGCAGUUCGAGACGCGUGCCCGGC